UUCCACCCACUUUCUCCACACAUAUCCAUUACACAUAAUAUUCCCUCCAGCUCGUAUAACUCUGGCCCCAAAAAAAUAUCUUGAGGGAACUCUAUAUAUACCAAUAGAUUUGAUAGGAAGAAGAAAAAAAAAAGGAAACCUAGAGAUAAAAAUAGCUAAGCGGCGCAGCAGAAACUCCAGAAAACAAAAAAUAGUUGCACCUCUUUCUUUUUCCCCUUCAACUCAUCAUCAUCUUCAACCCACAAAAUAUCCAUGAAAACCACCAUCUUUCCUCCAUAAAACCCACUUGAAAAUAGCCUUUUAAACCUAGCAAAAACCACUCAAAAACAAGCGCAAAUCCAUCGUCAAACUCUAAGAAAAACUGUCCAAAACCCAGCAUUAAACUACAACCAAAUCAGCACCGAAAAUGCCCCAAAAUCCAUCUCCAAAGUGACUCAAAAUGUCACCCGAACCACCCCCAAAACUCAGCAAAAUCAGCCCCAAAAAUCAUCCGCAAAGCAGCUCCAAAGAGCAGCCAAAUCAGCUGAGAAAUUACUGGUAAAAAAACCUGUCCAAAACCCCCCAGAAAAGCUGUCCAAAAUUAGUGCCAAAAAUAUGACGAAAAACCGUCUGAAGCCAGCCACAAGCCUCCAUCAAAAUUACCACUUUAUACUCGAAAUAGUUGUCCAAAUCUAUUCGAGUCGGUAUCAUUUUCGUGUAGAUCUUGGUUUGAGUUCGCCAUUGAAGUUACGGUCGAUUGGUUCUAUAGCAUUUGAAGGUCCCUGUUUUGCUCUUGCUUCGGUCAAAUUGUAGUUGUUGUUUCCUUGUAUUUUGACAUUGGCAGCGGUGCUUCAAUGUAAAGGAAGUUUCCAGUAAUAAAGUCCAAUAUUUAAACUUAUGUUAUCUCAAUUUUGUCCUGCUAGCAUAAUGAAUGAUUCUGGUUAUUUGUUGCUAUUCCAUGUUAUCUUGUCUUUCGUAGUAGUCUUAAUUAGCUGGUCUUUUGUCUUAAGCUAUGACUUGAUUUGUGAGAUUCAUGCUCAGCUCAUUAUUUACAACUUAAUAUCUGUUAUAUGUUGAUUUGCUAUCUCCCCUUGGUAUAGUUAAUACAUUAGCAUCAUGGUUCAUUAAAGAAGCUACUGUUUGAAUUCAUGGGAAGUGUAGGACAGUUAAUCGUGUUGGGUUUUUGUAAUUCACGGGUUUAUGGUAAUUGAUUUAAUUUUGGGCUUUACUUUAUCCUUACCCUUUAAUAUUCGGGUCAUUAGCACUUGGUUUGAGAUAAGCGAUUUGGCCUAUUUUACAUAACUGAUAAUUGCUAGAUUAGUCUAAAUAGCUUAAUAAACUUCAUGUAUUCCAAACACCUCCAAUUUCAUAAGUCAUGGCCUUACAACAACCUUAAAACUAGUUUAGGAAAAUAAUCACACAACUGCAGUUUGCUUUAGGCGCGGUUAAUAAAUCAUUGUGGCCAUGUGUACGGUUCCCGUAGCAUGGUCACGAUACAUAUUUUCCAAUUCAGGUGUGCAUUUUAUAUGACCCGACCACAACUUAAAACAAUAUAAAAAUAAAUAUGUUGUAAAUCGCGGGUGCAUUUCAUGUGGCGCAGUUUGCACUAUGUACCAAAGACAAGUGUACGACAUCGUGACUUGUUCCAAAAAUAAUUCCAUAAAUAAAUAAAAGCAGUUAUAGAGUUAAAAAUACACACACAUUUAAAAUAUGUAAUAAAUCAGAUAAUUAGGCCAAUUAUCAAUAGUUGAGCGACCGUGCUAAAACUACGGAAUCCGGGAGUGCCUCACACCUUCUCCCGGUUUAACAGAAUUCCUUACCGAUCCUCUGUGUUCGCGGACCAAAACUAGAGUCAAUUUCCUCGAUUUGGGAUUUAAAAUAAAUCGGUGACUUGGGACACCAUAAACUAUUCCAAGUGGCGACUCUAAAAAAUUAAAUAAAUAAUCUCAUUUCGAUUAAUGUCACUUUAAUUGGAAAAACUUUCCUAUACCCGUCAGAAAAAAGGAGGUGUGACAGCUCUGGCGACUCUGCUGGGGAAACAAACCUAGAACUUAUGGUUUAGAGUUCAGAAUUCGAGCUUAGAAUAACUGUUAUAGUUGGCUUUUAUUUAUUAUCUAAUUUUUUUUACGUGUUUUAGCUUGAUGUGCUAAAUGCCACUUUUUACCGCUUUGAUAUUAUAUGAACUGUAUAUAAACUAUUACAAAAUCCUUCUUCUCUCUGAGUCUUCUAAAUCUUCUGGGAAGUGCACACUGGCGUGACUUCUUUUCUGUUAGAGUCAUACCCUAAUUUAGAACGAGGAUCAGAUCAGUUACAAAGCCGGAUGGCCUUUUGGUUAUCGGUACGUUGCCCCUUUCCCCCCCCCCCCCCUCCCCGGCUCGAGUUGUCUACUCGGGUAAGCCAGGAGAAUAAUACACCCAGGUUUUAAACCUAGAAUAACAUAGCCUCAUGCCGGAUUCCUAGUAGGAACGCUUGCAUUUGACUUUGGGGACUCAACACAGGGUUUGGUUCCGUCUAGGACAGGUGUAACCGAAAUAAAAAGACCAUCCUGAUGCAUCUUACGUGCUACUUGCGCAUCUGUUUGUUUUGGCUUACGUGCUGACUGGCUUUUAGAAUGGGAAAAGAAAAAUAAAAAAAUAGAGAAAAUAAUAAAUAAAAACAAGAGUGAGAGGUAGGUAUUAAAAAAAUCAAAACUCUGCCGAAAUUUUGAAGAAAAUAAAAGAGAAAGAAAAUAAGAUAAUGUUUUCAAAAGAUCAUGUUUCCCUUGUUCCGUCAAAACAGACUGAACUACGCGGGUCUAAUUCUCAUCGGAUGUGAGAUACGUAGGCAAACUUUAUCGGUUCCAGCCCCAAUUUCUAAAAAUUCAAAAAUAUUUUCCUUUAAUUCCUUCAUUAGAAGCAUUUCCUUAGAAAAUUCAAAAGAAAAAGAUUUUUAAACUCAAAAAAAAUAGUUUUCUUCUUUCUGAAGUCUUUCAUACGGAAAAAAAAAAACAACAAAAUCCAAAAUACAGAUUUCCUUUAUUUUAAAGUAUUUUUCCCAAAAAUUCAAAAAAAAAUCAAAAAAAAAGAAUCCAAAAAAUAUUCUUAUCCUUCUUUAAAAAUCUUUCUUUCGUAAAUAUCAUAAAAUAAUUGAAACGUUGAAGUCCAAAAAUAUUUUUGUUUUUCUUUAGAAGUACUUUUGUAAUAAAAAAAAACUCAGAAAUCCAAAAUAUUUUCUUAGCCCCUCUUUCGAAAAUUAAGAGGCAACAUCCAAAAUUCAAAAACAUUUUCUUUCUUCUUUAGAAAAAGAGAAAACAAAUGAAAAUUCAAAAAAUAAUCUUUUUACUUUUGAAAUUCCCAAAGUUCAAAUCAAAGAAAAGGAAUUUUUAGAAGUCUUUCUUUCAAAAAAAAAAUCAAAAUUAAAAAUCCAAAAAAUAUUUCUUUUUUUAUUUUAAAGCAUUUUUUUUAAAACUCCAAAAUAAAUACAAAAAAAAUCAAAAAAAUAUAUAUGUUUUUCUUUUUCUUAAAGCUUUCAUGGUCCGAGUUUUAUAAAAAGUAAACAAAAAAAGUGAGUUAGUUUAAUUACUCUAUUCUCGAUCUUCCUGAACUAUGCAAGAUCUUAUUCAUGCUGCAUCAUGAUACUUAGGCAAUCCCCAUCGGAUUCGAUCAUAGCUAUAAAAUAAAUUGAGUGAAAAAUAAACUAAAAAAAUUGAGUGAAGAAGAAAGAAAUGAGUGAAAAAAAAGGAAUGACAAAACAAAAAGAGAACAAGAGAGUGCCAAAUAUAAAAGAGCGACAGAAACAAAAGGAAAAAAAUCAAAAGUGAUUAAAGAGAGGUAGAAAUAAAAGAAAAGAGGUACAUACUGAAAGGAUUAGUUGAGGCCGGGAUGAAACAUGCAACCGUUAGUUAAGGCCCGGAUGAAACAUGCAACCGUUCAAACACAUGGUAGAAGCAUUUAACUGUUAGGUGCAUUGCAUCCCAACUUGCGAUUUCCUAUAUGCUAAAUGUUUCAAAACUAACAAGGUUGUUGGGUGUGCAAAUUAGCCAGGUUCUGUUCAGGUGGUUAGUUUUGUUGAUAAUCUGGCUUUCCAUCCUUACUUCACAAGAUCCAAAGGCAUGGUUCCUAUGGCCUCGGUCCCACCAUACUAUUAUCCCUUUCAAGAUGUUGCUUAUGUUGUGGCACUGCCUCCCUACGCGGUGAUGAGCAUGCAACCUUACAUGCGGCCACAACAUUAUACACAAAAACAAGAUCCACCUCCCAGAAAUGCCCAUCCUUGCCAAGCUUCAAAUAAUCCCAACCAAAUGUCCCCCAGUACAACCCCCCUCCCCCCAAGAGAGCCUUUCAGAAAGAAUCAGUUCACCCCUAUUGGUGAAUCAUAUUCGGGCUUGUUCCAAAAGCUAGUCAGGCGAGGUCUGCUGUAGCCAGUGGCCCCAAACCAGCCAAACCCCGAGUCUCCCUCACACCAAGCGAUGCCAUAUGUGAAUACCACUCCGCAAUGGGACACAGUACAGAGGGCUGUUGGACCCUCAAAAGGGCAAUUGAAGACUUAAUCGAAGCUGAAAUAAUCGUUCUUCGGGACGAAAAAGGCUCCUAAUGGACAAAUAAUCCAUUGCUUGCUCACAACACCAGGCCAAUAGUCGGAAUGAUUCGUGAAAAGAGGAAUUUGAUCCAGCACUAAAGGCCAUUGCAGCCAUUGUCGAGACAGAAGAAAAUCCAAAAAGCGAUCGACAAGCUUGAAAGUUCCCCAUCAGAUGGGAGUCUCGAUAGCCAGUCUUGCUAUAUUUUCUGCGUUCGGAUUAUCUCAGGGUGUGAUCCGGAUGUUUCACUUUCCGAUGUAAACCCUUAUAUCUUUAAAAUUCAAAAAAAAUCAAAUAAAAAAGAAAUCAUUUCAUUACCUAGGAAUGUCUCUUUUCUUAUUGUAACUUUUCUUAUUCUCUUUUUAAUUCUGUUAAAUGCAGAUUUCAAUAACAUGACAUGCUUGCGGACUUCAUGCCCAGAUCCUAAAACGCUGUCAGACCUCGAAAUAAUGAAUCAAAAAAUAGAUUGUAAUGAAGAUAAGUUUUAGGAAAUAAAACAAAGAGUUGGAACAACUAAAGAAAAAUUGGCUCCAGAUUGUAAAGAUCCAUACAUGGUAACAAGGGUACUUCCAAAAAGAGCGUUGUACCUGGGAAACAUCCAAAGAAAUGUCCCUAAAACAACUACCAAUGUAGGUUCAGUCAAAAGGUACUAUGUUUGAUCCUCUAUAUAGUAUUAACGCUCCGAUUGGGAUGAAGAAGGCUUUUAUUUUCGCUAACUAAAUACCAUUAACCCUUUUUUAAUCUCUUUGAGCCGGUUCCCUUUCUUUGAUUACCCUCUUUGGAAUCUGAAAGUGUUAUUGAAAAAAAAUGAAAGAAUGAAAUGAAAAAUGAAAAACAAAAUGAAAAAAGAGAAGAAAAAGAAAGAUACAAAAAAGGGAAGAAAAGGCAAAAAGAAAAUGAAAUGAAAAAUGAAAAAAAAAAGAGGAAAAAGGAAAGGAAAAAGAAAGAGAAAACAAAAGAAAAUAGAAAAACAAAAGAAAAAAAACAAAGUUCCUUGAACUUGUUCAACUUGAUUCCAAAAGGAUACGUAGGCAGACUCUCUCUGGGGUUCAGUCACACCAAAAUAAAAAUCCAAAUUCCUCUAAUUUGAAACUGGGGCAGAAGUUAUAAUGGUUUGACGAUGGUUUCGCCCGAAAGGUUCCAAAGUCAUAACUCUAUCCAAAUCCUUUUUACCCAAACCUUAUUCAAGUCCUUCUGAUCAAUCGGCAAAGAUGUUCAAAAUGGGAGGAUACAGUUACUUGGAUCUGACACAACAAAAUGAGAGAAUUAAAAUGAAAGUCUUAUCGGUGAAAACUCUCACGGGCAACAUAAGGUGAUGGUAAGCAGAGAAAUGGAAAAUAAGAGAGUCUUGUUAGUGAAAACUCGCAAAGAGCACUAUAAUACGAUGGUGAGAAGAGAAAUAAGAGUGGUCAGAUAGUGAAAACCCGCAAAGGGCACCACUGAUCAAAAAAGAGGAUAUUCGGUCACUGACAUUGACACAGUCCUGGGCAUGGUUUCUCGAUUUCGAGGCAAAAGUUGUGAUGAAUUUCUGAGAGUCAGACGGUUUGCACGGAUCAGGCAUCCAGUCCAAAAGGCGUGUCAUAUUCGUUGAAGUCCGCAUGUACUCUAGAUAAGUCCUUCUUUCCUUUCCUCAAAAGGGACGUCUUGUAUAAAUUCAUUUGUCCAUUCCAUUGUUUAUUUUUCCUUUGAAUCCCUUUCGGUCUAACUCUAUUUUGAAACUGAGACAAAGAAGGUUUACAGGGUUCUCAUUUGAUACAAGCUAAUAUGCAAAAAAGACACCCAGCCUCGUCAGGGGCAUCAAGUCGACCUCGACCGGCCAUGACGGCCAAUGCUUCGAAAUCAAAUCGAAGUGCCUAUAAAGGUAAAUGAAGUUGAAAAGGUUAAGUUCCACGUGGCUAAUAGUCUCGGCAAAAAUUUGAAAAAGCCAAGGGAUCCCAAAUGCUCUGAAACUAAAGUUGGAAUAAAGAAGCCAAAAAUGAAAGGCCUAUGAAGGCGAAAUAAAGUUGGAAAAGAUUAAGUCCUACGCGACUAGCCGUCGCGACAAAGUUUGAGGAGCCAAAAGUUCCUCAAUGCUCCGAAGUUUUAAAAAAACAACAAGUCAGAAGGGAAGGGCCUAUAGAAGCAAAAUAAAGUCAAAAAGGUUGAGUCCCAUCGACCAAUCGUCAUGCAAAUUGUGGAAAAGCUAGAGUUUCUACAGGGUCAGAAAUGCAAUCGGUAUUCAGGAAACAAUCAAGCCGAGAUCAAGUGGUUAAAAUAAUCAAGGCCACAAAACCAACCACCGUUUUAAACUGACAAAUUGUUUUUUGUUUGAAAAAUAAGAAACAGGUGCAAUGCACAAGCAAACUUGCAAGAAGCAGGUGCUACCAAAAAGAAACUGCGCAAGAGCUAAAAAACAGCUUUGCAGCAACAACUCCAAAAAGGGAAGUCUCCUCCAAAAUUCUUUCCGGCAUUUACUCAUUCUAUGAAAUAAAAAAAAUAAGAAAAAAAACGAUGAUGAAAAUAAAUAAAGAAAAAAAAAGAAGAAGAGAAACUCAAAAUCAUAGUAGUAUAGGGUCUCCAAUUCCUAGCUGUGUCUUUUCCAAAAUAGGGUCCCACUUCCUAGUUGAUGCGGGCAUAACCCGAUGACUUUUCCAACAUAGAGUCUCACUCCCUAGUUGAUGCCGGCAUAACCCCAUGACUUUUUCAACAUAGGGUCCCACUCCCUAGUUGAUGUCGGCAUAACCCCAUGACUUUUCCAACAUAGGGUCUCACUCCCUAGUUGAUGUCGGCAUAACCCGAUGCCAGCAAAACCUAAUGCCAACAUAGGGUAACCACUCCCUAGUUGAUGCCAGCAUAACCUGAUGCCCACAUAGGGUCACCAUUCCCUAGUUGAUGCCGACAUAGGGUCUCCACUCCCUAGUUGAUGUCAGCAUAACCUGAUGCCAACAUAGGGUCACCACUCCCUAGUUGAUGAUUUUCCAACAAUAGAGUUUCCAAUCCCUAGUUGAUUUUAUUUUAGAUAUAUGGGUCUCCACUCCUUAAUAUCUUUUUCCCAAGGAUACACAAUCUCGACAUUUUAUUUGCUUUUAAUAAUGAAGUAGUAUAGAGUUUUGCUACCAAUAACUCACGAAAGUUUCCUAGUGAAAACUGGGGCAGAAAUAUUUUGUUCGUUUGUUUGUUUGGGUGCCUGAGCAGGUUUUACCUCGAGGCACGGGUUCGAGACGACUAAAAGAAGAAGUCUCAAUCCAAAAUAAAAGAAAAAGAAGAAAAGAAAUGAAGUGAACACAAUUCAGAAGCGGAGAAAAGAUGUGGACUGCUCAAGAAAUGAUUAAUAUCACAAGCUUUGCAUGUCACGCCUUGAUCCGAGAAGCUGAAAAGAAUGAACCAGCACCUAUAGCUAACAAGCAUCAAGAUUCGGAUCAGAGUCUACGUGAAGAACGAGCUAAGACUCAAGAUCAAGCUUCAAAAGACUCAUAGAUAGGAAUCCUGUAACUUGUAGCUGAUAGGCUUAGUUAGUUUUUUUCAUUUUGACUUUGAUGUAAUAGCAGGACCACGGACCGGAUCCUCGACGGGACCUCACUCGACACUCGAACUUGGCAUUCCAUCAUUCUCCUUGAACUACACGCGACCUGAUUCUCAUAUGACCCAGGAUAUGUAGGUUGUCCAAAACAAGGACUCGGUUGCACUCUUUUCUUUUAGUUUCUUCCCUUUUAAUAAUAAAAAAUAAAUAAUGGUUUGGUCAAAAAUUAGUCAUAUCGCUCAUCUUUUCUUUGCCUGAAAACUCUUCAUGUUUCCAAGCAACGAGGGGCAUGCUGUAAGCACCUAAUUUUUGACCAUAUUUUAAUUUUUCACCACUUUUUCGUAUGUAAAUAUUUUUUAAGUUUAACCUACGCAUUUUAGCUCUUGUUUUACCUUUUUAUAGGUUUUACUUAGAAAUUGAAAAUGAUGAAAAAGAGUCACAUUUUUUUGAUAAAUUUUGUUUUCAUUUACAAAAGAAAAAGAACAAAUUAAAAUUUUGUUAAGACUACUAAUAUGAAAUUUUCUUUAGUAGAUUUCUGUAUUUUUCUAGUCUAAACGUAUUAAUGUAGUAUUUUGAUUUUAGAUUAUCUUGAAAAGAAAGAAUUAAUAAAAAAUGAUGAUACAAUUAGGUUCUGCCACUUAAAAUAACUAGCAAGAUUCUAUUAGACCAUGAUCAUAUUUUGUCUUGAUUCUCGUGGACACACUCACAUUUUUCUUUUAUAUAUUUUUCCUCCUCACAUGUUACACUACACUUUUCAUUUCUUAAUUUACUAAGCUCACGUACUAACAGUUAAUUCAAUUGGAGUCACUCACCUCACGCGCACUCAUGCUACAAUGCUAGGAGUCCAUAUUUUGUUCUUAUCUUUUUUGGUAUCUAACAAAUUGUGAGCGCCACAGGAUCUUCCACCCACUUUCUCCACACAUAUCCAUUGCACAUAAUAUUCCCUCCAGCUCAUAUAACUCUGGCCCCAAAAAAAAUCUUGAGGGCACUCUAUAUAUAUCAACAGAUUUGAUAGAAAGAAGAAGAAAAAAAAAGGAAACCUAGAGAUAAAAAUAGCUAAGCGGCGCAGCAGAAACUCCAGAAAACAAAAAAUAGUUGCACCUCUUUCUUUUUUCCCUUCAACCCAUCAUCAUCUUCAACCCACAAAAUAUCCAUGAAAACCACCAUCUUUCCUCCAUAAAACCCACUUAAAAACAGCCUUUUAAACCUAACAAAAUCCACUCAAAUCCAUCGUCAAACUCCAAGAAAAACUGUCCAAAAAUAAAAUUAAACUACAACCAAAUCAAACCCGAAAACGCCCCAAAAUCUAGCUCCAAAGUGACCCAAAACGUCACCCAAACCACCCCCGAAACCACCUCAAAACAGGCCCCCAAAACUCAGUAAAAUUAGCCCCAAAAAUCAUCCACAAAACAGCUCCAAAGAGCAGCCAAAUCAGCUGCGAAAUUGCUGAAAAAAACCAGUCCAAAACCCCCAGAAAAGUUGUCCCAAAAUCAGUGCCAAAAAUCUGACAAAACACCAUCCGAAACCAGCCACAAGCCUCCAUCGAAAUGACCCCUUUAUACUCGAAAUAGUUGUCCAAAUCUAGUCGAGUCAGUAUCAUUUUCGUGUAGAUCUUGUUUUGAGAUCGCCAUCGAAGUUAUGGUCGAUUGAUUCUAUAACAUUUGAAGGUCCUUGUUUUGCUCUUGCUUCGGUCAAAUUGUAGUUGUUGUUUCCUUGUAUUUUGACAUUGGCAGCGGUGCUUCAAUGUAAAGGAAGUUUCCAGCAAUAAGGUCCAAUAUUUAAACUUAUGUUAUCUCAAUUUGGUCUUGCUAGCAUAGUCAAUGAUUCUGGUUAUUUGUUGCUAUUCCAUAUUAUCUUGUCUUUCGUAGUAGUCUUAAUUACCUAGACUUUUGUCUUAAGCUAUGACUUGAUUUGUGAGAUUCAUGCUCAGCUCAUUAUUUACAACUUAAUAUCUGUUGUAUGUUGAUUUGCUAUUUCCCCUCGGUAUAGUUAAUGCAUUGGCGUCAUGGUUGAUUAAAGAAACUAUUAUUUGAAUUCAUGGGAAGUGUAGGAUAGUUAAUCGUGUUGGGUUUUUGUAAAUUUUCGGGUUUAUGGUAAUUGAUGUAAUUUUGGGCUUUACUUUAUCCUUACCCUUUAGUAUUCGGGUCAUUAGCACUUGGUUUGAGAUAAGUGAUUUGGCCUAUUUUACAUAAACAGAUAAUUGCUCGAUUACUCUAAAUAGCUUAAAAACUUCAUGUAUUCCAAACACCUCUAUUUCCAUAAGUCAUGGCCUUACAACAAACUUAAAACUAGUGUAGGAAAAUAAUCACACAACCGUAGUUUGCUUUAGGCGUGAUUAAUAAAUCAUCCUGGUCAUGGGUACGGUUCCCGUGGCAUGGUCAUGAUAUAUAAUUUCCAAUUCGGGUGUGCAUUUUAUAUGACCCGACCACAACUAAAAACAAUAUAAAAAUAAACAUGUCGUAAAUCGCGGGUGCAUUUCAUGUUGCGUGCUUUGCAAUGUGUACCAAAACGACAAGUGUACGACAUCGUGACUUGUUUCAAAAAUAAUUCCAUAAAUAAAUAAAAGCAGUUAUAAAGUUUAAAAUACACAACAGGUUUAAAAUAUGUAAUAAAUUAGAUAAUUAGGCCAGUUAUUAAUAGUUGAGCGACCGUGCUAAAACUACGGAAUCCAGGAGUGCCUCACACCUUCUCCCAGGUUAAUAGAAUUCCUUACCCGGUCUUCUGUAAUCGCAGACCAAAAAUAAAGUUAAUUUCCUCGAUUUGGGAUUUAAAAUAAAUCGGUGACUUGGGACACCAUAAACUAUUCCAAGUGGCGGCUCUAAAAAAUCAAAUAAAUAAUCUCAUUUCGAUUAAUGUCACUUUAAUUGGAAAAACUCCCCGAUCUCCUUCGGGAAAAAGGUCUGUUACUUCUUCCGAUAAGGACCAUGCUGCUUAGGCUUUGUAAUUUUUGUAAUUUUUCGUUUUUGUUUUGAGGCCGAUUGGCCCUUAUAAAUAACUCUUAAUCGGGCCAUAUGGCCCUUGUAAAAAGAGUUUUGAGAUAUAUGUAAAAACUUUAUUUCCUUCCAUGGCUUCUGAAUUUGUUGUCUUUUUGUUAAUUUAUGUAAGGGCCAAGCGCCUUAGCAUAAAAUUAUGAAGCUGUAUUCGAAGGUCCAAGGUUUGAGAUGGUAAGGACCGAGAACUAGUACCGCCCUCGACUAUUUCUAAUCGAUGGACCCCGAAUGUUUAUCAAACUAGAGUUGAGGAUGCCCUUAAGCUUAAUGAUCAAGUGGGGACCUGCUCGAACUCGAAAUAAGGUAGACUUUGGGCUUUCUAGUCGAGUGAUAAUGAUCUCUCAAACUCGAAGUGAAAUUAUCCCUUAGGCCUUUGUAAAUUUUGUGUUUAGCCGACAUAGCCUUUAUAAAAAGAUCAUUUAUAUAUAAGGCUUUUCACCCUUUUCGGCUCUAAAAUUUUUCCUUUGUUUUACUGUUUGUAUUCACAAAGGUUGGAAUGACUUAGCACAAAAUAAUAAGGUUUUGUUCGAGGGUUCGAGCAAACUUUGCCUUUAUUUCCCUUCUAGGUUAAGGCGUUAUCGGGGUUCGAUGUUACCAAAGUUUUUUUCCGAAAAUAUCUUAAGUUAAAGAUUCUACCGCGGGUAGCCUAUAGAACCGGUUGUGAAAGAACUUUUUCUGUUUCGAAGGCCUAUUUUUGUUACGGAUUUCGGACGUCUCCAAACCGUGUUAAAUUAGGUAGCCUAUUAGUUCGGAUGUAGCCCAGUGAGCUCACUUUCCCAAGUUAUCCAAGCUUGCCUAAGAUAAUAGUCCUCGAUUGGGUAUGGCCAUGGCCUUUAAAAUUUGAGGGUUUCAUAAGAGGUCUUAUAUCCUCGAUGUUCAAUAACUCGAUUUGGUCGAAUUUAUUUUAUGGACGGUAGUGCCCGACUAUUGGAGUGAUUAUCCGAACUCCAGUUUCAAUCAGCCCUUUGGCUCAUUUCCAUAAUUGAUUGAAAGUAUGGGGUUGAAAAGUGAAACAUUUUCCAAGACAUUAAAUAGUUGCAAGGAAAGUACUUCUCUUUAUUCUUGUCAAAAAUAAUCACACAUGCGUACAUGUUUAGUGUCAGGGCUCGGGCAAUCUAUGUAGGCACGGUUCGUUUUAACCGUUUUUCCCUUACAGUAAAUCCUACCUAUUGAGACCCUUUCAUUUCGAAAUAAUUUCCUUGCUAAAACACUUCAAUAUCCGAGGUUAAUCCCC
rnacentral:lncRNA from 1 species